UUAGCGGCCGCCGUCGCUGCCAAAUAUGAGGGGCGGGCGCCGCCUUACCUACGCCGCCGCCACGGCUGUUCCAGACGAAGGGAAAGGAUGAUGAAGAGGUCGGUAGAAGAGGGUUAUCCGGUCCUUGCACUCCUGUUGGAAUCGGCAUUUGACGUGUCUUUUUUUCCCCUCAAACAAAGAAAAAAGGUUCAGGAAUUAGUUUUCUAGAAUUGUUCCGUCGUUUUUUACAAAG
rnacentral:lncRNA from 1 species